rnacentral:rRNA from 1 species
UUGGUAUUGCAUGCCUGGUGUCAUUUAAAAAC